AGCGAACGCUGGCGGCAGGCUUAACACAUGCAAGUCGAGCGGGCACUUCGGUGUCAGCGGCAGACGGGUGAGUAACACGUGGGAACGUACCCUUUGGUUCGGAAUAACGCUGGGAAACUAGCGCUAAUACCGGAUACGCCCUUUUGGGGAAAGGCUUGCUGCCGAAGGAUCGGCCCGCGUCGGAUUAGCUGGUUGGUGGGGUAAUGGCCUCCCAAGGCGACGAUCAGUAGCUGGUCUGAGAGGCUGAUCAGCCACACUGGGACUGAGACACGGCCCAGACUCCUCCGGGAGGCAGCAGAGGGGAAUAUUGGAAAAUGGGCGCAAGCCUGAUCCAGCCAUGCCGCGUGAGUGAUGAAGGCCUUAGGGUUGUAAAGCUCUUUUGUCCGGGACGAUAAUGACGGUACCGGAAGAAUAAGCCCCGGCUAACUUCGUG
rnacentral:rRNA from 1 species